UCCGUUUGAAUUCUUUAACAAAUAUAUCCACACUGUUAUACAUUAGGACCAUAUAUAUCCCUCAGCCGUUAAAACUUGUUUCCACAUAAUUUUUUAACACGUGGCAGUAAACGAUUGGAUCAGAUUAUCCUCCCAUUCUAUUUAUUAAACCCGUCCGACCCACUGUUCAAACCCGCCCCGACCCAAUUUCUUUAUAUACACCAGCAUUAUAUCAUUUCUAAUUGUCUUCUCCCUCACAAAGAAAAGAACUAGGAUUUCUCAGUGCAGCUCCAUUGAAAGGCAUUCUCUCCCAGUUGCUUUCUUCUUCUCUUAACAUAAACUGGGUUGUGAAGAUUUUCUAACAUAGCAAGUUUUGUCAUGUCUGAAAGUAGUUAUUCAUCAAAGAGGAGGUGUCAUUGUGGGGAAAUUGCCAAUCACUUCACUUCCACGACUCCAUUUAAUCCCGGAAGGAGAUUCUUUAAGUGCGCUAAACCUGAUAUA
rnacentral:lncRNA from 1 species